UUAAGCGACUAAGCGUACACGGUGGAUGCCCUGGCAGUCAGAGGCGAUGAAGGACGUGCUAAUCUGCGAUAAGCGUCGGUAAGGUGAUAUGAACCGUUAUAACCGGCGAUUUCCGAAUGGGGAAACCCAGUGUGAUUCGUCACACUAUCAUUAACUGAAUCCAUAGGUUAAUGAGGCGAACCGGGGGAACUGAAACAUCUAAGUACCCCGAGGAAAAGAAAUCAACCGAGAUUCCCCAAGUAGCGGCGAGCGAACGGGGAGCAGCCCAGAGCCUGAAUCAGUGUGUGUGUUAGUGGAAGCGUCUGGAAAGGCGCGCGAUACAGGGUGACAGCCCCGUACACAAAAAUGCACAUGCUGUGAGCUCGAUGAGUAGGGCGGGACACGUGGUAUCCUGUCUGAAUAUGGGGGGACCAUCCUCCAAGGCUAAAUACUCCUGACUGACCGAUAGUGAACCAGUACCGUGAGGGAAAGGCGAAAAGAACCCCGGCGAGGGGAGUGAAAAAGAACCUGAAACCGUGUACGUACAAGCAGUGGGAGCACGCUUAGGCGUGUGACUGCGUACCUUUUGUAUAAUGGGUCAGCGACUUAUAUUCUGUAGCAAGGUUAACCGAAUAGGGGAGCCGAAGGGAAACCGAGUCUUAACUGGGCGUUAAGUUGCAGGGUAUAGACCCGAAACCCGGUGAUCUAGCCAUGGGCAGGUUGAAGGUUGGGUAACACUAACUGGAGGACCGAACCGACUAAUGUUGAAAAAUUAGCGGAUGACUUGUGGCUGGGGGUGAAAGGCCAAUCAAACCGGGAGAUAGCUGGUUCUCCCCGAAAGCUAUUUAGGUAGCGCCUCGUGAAUUCAUCUCCGGGGGUAGAGCACUGUUUCGGCAAGGGGGUCAUCCCGACUUACCAACCCGAUGCAAACUGCGAAUACCGGAGAAUGUUAUCACGGGAGACACACGGCGGGUGCUAACGUCCGUCGUGAAGAGGGAAACAACCCAGACCGCCAGCUAAGGUCCCAAAGUCAUGGUUAAGUGGGAAACGAUGUGGGAAGGCCCAGACAGCCAGGAUGUUGGCUUAGAAGCAGCCAUCAUUUAAAGAAAGCGUAAUAGCUCACUGGUCGAGUCGGCCUGCGCGGAAGAUGUAACGGGGCUAAACCAUGCACCGAAGCUGCGGCAGCGACACUAUGUGUUGUUGGGUAGGGGAGCGUUCUGUAAGCCUGUGAAGGUGUACUGUGAGGUAUGCUGGAGGUAUCAGAAGUGCGAAUGCUGACAUAAGUAACGAUAAAGCGGGUGAAAAGCCCGCUCGCCGGAAGACCAAGGGUUCCUGUCCAACGUUAAUCGGGGCAGGGUGAGUCGACCCCUAAGGCGAGGCCGAAAGGCGUAGUCGAUGGGAAACAGGUUAAUAUUCCUGUACUUGGUGUUACUGCGAAGGGGGGACGGAGAAGGCUAUGUUGGCCGGGCGACGGUUGUCCCGGUUUAAGCGUGUAGGCUGGUUUUCCAGGCAAAUCCGGAAAAUCAAGGCUGAGGCGUGAUGACGAGGCACUACGGUGCUGAAGCAACAAAUGCCCUGCUUCCAGGAAAAGCCUCUAAGCAUCAGGUAACAUCAAAUCGUACCCCAAACCGACACAGGUGGUCAGGUAGAGAAUACCAAGGCGCUUGAGAGAACUCGGGUGAAGGAACUAGGCAAAAUGGUGCCGUAACUUCGGGAGAAGGCACGCUGAUAUGUAGGUGAAGUCCCUCGCGGAUGGAGCUGAAAUCAGUCGAAGAUACCAGCUGGCUGCAACUGUUUAUUAAAAACACAGCACUGUGCAAACACGAAAGUGGACGUAUACGGUGUGACGCCUGCCCGGUGCCGGAAGGUUAAUUGAUGGGGUUAGCGCAAGCGAAGCUCUUGAUCGAAGCCCCGGUAAACGGCGGCCGUAACUAUAACGGUCCUAAGGUAGCGAAAUUCCUUGUCGGGUAAGUUCCGACCUGCACGAAUGGCGUAAUGAUGGCCAGGCUGUCUCCACCCGAGACUCAGUGAAAUUGAACUCGCUGUGAAGAUGCAGUGUACCCGCGGCAAGACGGAAAGACCCCGUGAACCUUUACUAUAGCUUGACACUGAACAUUGAGCCUUGAUGUGUAGGAUAGGUGGGAGGCUUUGAAGUGUGGACGCCAGUCUGCAUGGAGCCGACCUUGAAAUACCACCCUUUAAUGUUUGAUGUUCUAACGUUGACCCGUAAUCCGGGUUGCGGACAGUGUCUGGUGGGUAGUUUGACUGGGGCGGUCUCCUCCUAAAGAGUAACGGAGGAGCACGAAGGUUGGCUAAUCCUGGUCGGACAUCAGGAGGUUAGUGCAAUGGCAUAAGCCAGCUUGACUGCGAGCGUGACGGCGCGAGCAGGUGCGAAAGCAGGUCAUAGUGAUCCGGUGGUUCUGAAUGGAAGGGCCAUCGCUCAACGGAUAAAAGGUACUCCGGGGAUAACAGGCUGAUACCGCCCAAGAGUUCAUAUCGACGGCGGUGUUUGGCACCUCGAUGUCGGCUCAUCACAUCCUGGGGCUGAAGUAGGUCCCAAGGGUAUGGCUGUUCGCCAUUUAAAGUGGUACGCGAGCUGGGUUUAGAACGUCGUGAGACAGUUCGGUCCCUAUCUGCCGUGGGCGCUGGAGAAUUGAGGGGGGCUGCUCCUAGUACGAGAGGACCGGAGUGGACGCAUCACUGGUGUUCGGGUUGUCAUGCCAAUGGCACUGCCCGGUAGCUAAAUGCGGAAGAGAUAAGUGCUGAAAGCAUCUAAGCACGAAACUUGCCCCGAGAUGAGUUCUCCCUGACUCCUUGAGAGUCCUGAAGGAACGUUGAAGACGACGACGUUGAUAGGCCGGGUGUGUAAGCGCAGCGAUGCGUUGAGCUAACCGGUACUAAUGAACCGUGAGGCUUAACCUU
rnacentral:rRNA from 1 species